CUACGGGCUGCACCAGUGGGGAAUAUUGCACAAUGGGCGCAAGCCUGAUGCAGCCAUGCCGCGUGUAUGAAGAAGGCCUUCGGGUUGUAAAGUACUUUCAGCGGGGAGGAAGGGAGUAAAGUUAAUACCUUUGCUCAUUGACGUUACCCGCAGAAGAAGCACCGGCUAACUCCGUGCCAGCAGCCGCGGUAAUACGGAGGGUGCAAGCGUUAAUCGGAAUUACUGGGCGUAAAGCGCACGCAGGCGGUUUGUUAAGUCAGAUGUGAAAUCCCCGGGCUCAACCUGGGAACUGCAUCUGAUACUGGCAAGCGCGAGUCUCGUAGAGGGGGGUAGAAUUCCAGGUGUAGCGGUGAAAUGCGUAGAGAUCUGGAGGAAUACCGGUGGCGAAGGCGGCCCCCUGGACGAAGACUGACGCUCAGGUGCGAAAGCGUGGGGAGCAAACAGGAUUAGAUACCCGGGUAGUC
rnacentral:rRNA from 1 species